UACGUAGGGUGCAAGCGUUGUCCGGAAUUAUUGGGCGUAACGAGCUCGUAGGCGGUCUGUUGCGUCGGCUGUGAAAACCCGGGGCUCAACCCCGGGCCUGCAGCCGAUACGGGCAGACUAGAGUUCGGCAGGGGAGACUGGAAUUCCUGGUGUAGCGGUGAAAUGCGCAGAUAUCAGGAGGAACACCGGUGGCGAAGGCGGGUCUCUGGGCCGAUACUGACGCUGAGGAGCGAAAGCGUGGGGAGCGAACAGG
rnacentral:rRNA from 1 species